AAGAAAGGAAUCAUACAAGAAUAACAACAUUGGAGAAUGCCAAAAGGCCAAAAUAAACAAACAAAUCAACCCCUUUAAAAUAUUACAUACCUUUGAAUUUGAAUUUCACAAAAUUUGACUUUUAAUUCUCCUCAACCUCUUCAUCAUAUUCAUCUUCUUCAACUUCAUCGGUCACAGCAUCUUGAUACUGUUGGUAUUCAGACACCAAAUCAUUCAUGUUACUUUCAGCCUCUGUGAAUUCCAUCUCAUCCAUUCCUUCCCCUGUAUACCAAUGCAAGAAAGCCUUCCUCCUAAACAUCACCGUAAACUGCUCAGAAACCCUCCGGAACAUUUCCUGAAUGGAGGUCGAAUUCCCCAUGAACGUCGACGACAUUGAGAGUCCGGUAGGAGGGAUAUCACAGACGCUCGAUUUCACGUUGUUUGGGAUCCAUUCCACGAAAUACGAAGAGUUUUUGUUUUGCACAUUGAUCAUCUGCUCGUCGACUUCUUUAGUUGACAUUUUUCCACGGAACAUAGCCGAGGCAGUGAGGUAACGGCCGUGGCGGGGGUCGGCAGCGCACAUCAUGUUCUUAGCGUCCCACAUUUGUUGAGUGAGCUCAGGGAUAGUUAGGGCACGGUACUGCUGUGAUCCUCGGGAGGUCAACGGUGCGAAUCCGACCAUGAAGAAGUGGAGGCGAGGGAAGGGGAUGAGAUUCACGGCGAGCUUGCGAAGGUCGGAGUUCAGUUGACCGGGAAACCGGAGGCAGCAGGUGACGCCGCUCAUCGUAGUUGAAAUCAAGUGGUUCAGGUCUCCAACUGUCACCGACAAUUAUACAAUAAAUAUAAUUAAUUGUCUUUUAAUAGAAACACAUGUAUUGAAAUACCAUUUAAAAAUAAUUUUCUUAAAAAACAAUUUAGUUGACUUACAGCUUGGGUUUGUGAGCUUGAGUGUUCGGAAACAUAUAUCAUACAGUGCUUCAUUAUCAAGAACCAUGCACUCAUCAGCAUUCUCGACAAGCUGGUGAACAGAAAGGGUGGCAUUGUAUGGCUCAACAACUGUAUCCGACACCUUCGGUGAAGGGAAAACCGAAAAAGUCAACAUCAUCCGAUCCGGAUACUCUUCCCGGAUCUUGGAUAUCAGUAGGGUACCCAUACCGGAUCCGGUCCCCCCUCCAAGCGAAUGGCAUACCUGAAAACCUGUAAACGAAAAUCAAUGUCUUUCUGAUCUUUUUCAAAUAUAAGAUUUUACGGUUUAAAAACAAUUUGAUAAUAAAUUAUACCUUGCAAACAAUCACAAUUCUCGGCUUCCUUACGAACAACAUCAAGAACCGAGUCAAUUAGCUCGGCACCUUCGGUGUAAUGCCCUUUAGCCCAAUUGUUUCCAGCACCAUUUUGGCCGAAGAUAAAGUUAUCAGGCCUAAAAAUAUUACCAUAUGGCCCGGUACGCAGACUGUCCAUCGUACCAGGCUCUAGGUCCACCAACACAGCUCUAGGUACAUACCUACCGCCACUAGCCUCAUUAUAGUACACAUUCACUCUUUCUAGUUGAACAUGACUGUUACCGACAUAUUUCCCGGUGGCAUCGAUGCCGUGUUCGUCACACACGACCUCCCAAAACUUCCCUCCGAUCUGGUUUCCGCAUU
rnacentral:lncRNA from 1 species